AUCCUACGGGGGGCAGCAGUGAGGAAUAUUGGUCAAUGGCCGAGAGGCUGAACCAGCCAAGUCGCGUGAGGGGUGACGGCCCUACGGGUUGUAAACCUCUUUUGUCGGGGAGCAAAGAGAGUCACGUGUGGCUCAUUGAGAGUACCCGAAGAAAAAGCAUCGGCUAACUCCGUGCCAGCAGCCGCGGUAAUACGGAGGAUGCGAGCGUUAUCCGGAUUUAUUGGGUUUAAAGGGUGCGUAGGCGGAAUAUCAAGUCAGCGGUAAAAAUUCGGGGCUCAACCCCG
rnacentral:rRNA from 1 species